rnacentral:rRNA from 1 species
CCCUUACGGGGCGCAGCAGGCGCGGUCAUACGUAGGAUCCAAGCAUUAUCCGGAAUUACUGGGCGUAAAGAGUUGCGUAGGUGGCAUUGUAAGCAGGGCAUGAAAUCGUGUGGCUCAACCAUACGGCUAUGUUCUGAACUGCAAAGCUAGAGAGCGAGAGGGGUAGAUGGAAUUACUAGUGUAGGAGUGAAAUCCGUAGAUAUUAGUAGGAACACCGAUAGCGUAGGCAGUCUACUGGCUCGUCUCUGACACUCAGGCACGAAAGCGUGGGGAGCGAACAGGAUUAGAUACCCUGGUAGUCCACGCCGUAAACGAUGGAUGCUAGCUGUGAAUCGUAUCGACCCGAUUCGUAGCGAAGCUAACGCGUUAAGCAUCCCGCCUGUGGAGUACGGCCGCAAGGCUAAAACAUAAAUGAAUUGACGGGGACCCGCACAAGCGGUGGAGCGUGUUGUUUAAUUCGAUGGUAAGCGAAGAACCUUACCCAGGCUUGACAUCCUGUGAAGCAUUGCGAAAGCAAAGUGUGCCUUCGGGAGCACAGUGACAGGUGAUGCAUGGCCGUCGUCAGCUCGUGUCGUGAGAUGUUGGGUUAAGUCCCGCAACGAGCGCAACCCUUAUAGUUAGUUGAAUUUCUCUAGCUAGACUGCCCUGGUAACAGGGAGGAAGGAGGGGAUGAUGUCAGGUCAGUAUUUCCCUUACGUCUGGGGCUACAAACACGCUACAAUGGCCGGUACAAAGGGCAGCCAACCCGCGAGGGGGAGCUAAUCCCAUCAAAGCCGGUCUCAGUUCGGAUAGCAGGCUGAAACUCGCCUGCUUGAAGCUGGAAUCGCUAGUAAUGGUAGGUCAGCACACUACCGUGAAUACGUUCCAGGGUCUUGUACACACCGCCCGUCAAACCAUGAAAGUGACCAACACCCGAAGUCCGAUUCGUCGGCCUAAGGUGGGGGACAUGAUUGGGGUUAAGUCGUAACCAGGUAGCCGUAAGGGCGAAUUCGUU